CUCAGGGUCCCGCGCAGGCCAGCUCAGAAGUAAUGACUGGGCUAUCGCGGAGGGGAAAUGACACAGAGGCAUUGGGAGGGAGACGGAAAGUCGGGGCCUGAGUGUUCCUUGCGGAGAAAAAGUCCAUUCUGCGAAGGGUCCUUCAGCUAAGUUGUGGGCCCCGUGGAGGGGGCGCGCGAGCUUUUUGCACGCCGCUGGGAACGCGCUGGGUCCGUUGGGAGUCGCGCUGCGUAGACGCCCCCGGCGGCGGGAGAGGAGAGCGAGGCCUGCCCUGCACGGAGCCGCCAGCCAGCGCCGGCCUUCCGGAGGGGCUGCAGUCUCUGACUUCCCAGCGUCUCCUUCUGUGCCUCACUUCCCCCCUUCUGACCGGAUGUAUUAGAGAAGGAGACGGGCUGUGGUGUUAUUUUAAUACCCACAUUUCUCCAAUAUUUCCGCAAUUAUUACUGCUACUUAUUUCACGUAACAUCAUGCCCGUUGGUGUUGUUGCCUGUGCUUUGGAAAUGUGCCUCCCGCUCCCCAAGUUUGGCGGAUGAGGUUUUUGUCCCUCGAUCUAGUUCAUGAAAUGAGAAAUGGAAACGGAACGUGGUUCCGGGGGCCCAACUGGGAUAGCCGGCGCGAACGAGCUGAGCUGGAGGUGCAACGGAGCGCUCUUCUUGCCCCUCCAAUCUGGGCGUCCCCAGCGGGGAGAAGGGUGCGGGUCUUGAGCUGAGAGAGCGUGGAGCCGCCCGUCCCGUGUGCUGAGCCGAGCCUGAGAACUCCGGCCACAUCUGCUGCCCCGAAACUAGAAGGAUCUCAGGUUGUAGCCACCACGUCUGCGUGGCCAGCACAUCCCCUCGGCCUCCAAGAUGAGCGGGGAAAAUACACAGAAUUCCAGGCUGUGACCCGGGAAGAUAGAGACUCCAGGUCUGGGGUGCAGGCGGGGGGCCUGUCUAGAGACCCCCUCCCUCAACAGGAGGGCGCAAUGGAAACUUGGGAGCCCGCUGCUCUCGGGGCUCUGGAAAGACAAAUUUUCUUUGGCAAAGGGAACGGUGUCGCGCUGUCGACACGGCAGACUAUUUUUCUUGUUCCCUCAUAAGGAGGGGUGGGGGGGGGGAGAAAAGAGAGCAAGAAAGAGAGGGAAAUUAAAUCCACACGUGUUAAGCUUGCUCAAAGGGCCGGAUUCAAAACCAGAGAUGAAACUGCGCCUCCAGUGCUGGCUGCUCGCCGGCCUCUUUCCAGCCAGCCCCAGCCGGCGAGCAAGGCGUCCCCACCGGGGAGAAUUCGAUCCUAGGUUUCAUAAAGCGCUUUGUGUAAGGGGGUUGGGGGCCAUGGUUCCUUUCUGUCUACACCGCAGAGUCAGAACUCAGAGCGGCAAAGCAAAGAAAGGCGGUCGGACGGUGGGGCUCAUUGCCCCGUAAGAAAGCGCAGCUCCCUGUCUCCCCAGGAACCCGCGGCCUCGGGGACAUUCAUGGCCAAAGCGAGCCAGACUGGUGGUUUUGGAAAUUCACGCCAUCUGCCCGGGCUUUUCGGACUUGGGCCGCCCAGGGUCGAGAGAGCCUAACCAGCUGUUGUAUUGACGCUGGGAUGGCCAGCUUAACCUGCCGGCUGACACCCACCCGCACCCCUCUCUUUGGGGAGAAGCUUGCUGGUUAGGAGGUUCCAGGCCCAGCGCACUGGGAAGGGGGCGGAUGGAGGCGGCCAGCCCUCCUGGAGCUGCGAGUGAAAACUCUAGUAAUGACCUUAAGGAGGUGAAGGGAGGCGGGUGGGGGUGCGGGGGCGGAAGGCGGCCAAACCCCAAACUGGAGGGAUCCGUCACCGAAACGAUUGCUUGGUCGAGACCUCUAAUUUUUCUUCCCUUUCAGCCCGGGUUUCCGGCCUGCGGGGGGCAGCUGCGACAGAAGGGUCCGGAACAGGGGGACCCCAGACACGCGCGUCCCGGCCACAGUCACACCCGGAAAACACUGGGUACAACGGACAGGUUCCCGGUGGAAAAGCUCCUGGGGAUGUUUCCCGGAGGACCCUGGGUUUGCUGGUCACCAUGGCAACCUCAGAGCCCUGUUGAACAACAACCGCGCACGCCCCCCCCCACCACCAGCUAGCACUUUUGGGGCAUGUCCUGAGGCCUGCAAGGCGCUGUCCCUGGGGCUGCGGGCUGUUCGGAGGCCCCCGAAGUAGGCUCCGCAGGCGGAGGCAGAAAAAUCCCCUCUGUUUUCAACAGAGGAGAAAAUCGAGAUUUAGUACAAUCUCUGAGAGAAGUUCAGAUCCUGAGAGAAAGCCCUGCCUAGAGUUCAGAGCGCUGACCUGGGUAGGGGGGGGCGGGGGAGAAGCUGCAUGGGCCUGGGCUGGGCACCUGGGACCCAUGAGUCCCUGCAUCUCUUCACAUGGCUGCCCACCCCCAUCCGCCCCCAGACUCCCCCUUCUGUGUCUGUCCGACCUUGCCUGGAAUAACCUCUCCUAAAGGGAACAAGGAAGGUCAAGGAAGCUGGCGGCAUCCGUGUCUGCGAGGUCUAUUGCGGGAAAGAAUAAAUUGCACUCCAUUUCCUUCUAGAGAAAACCUGUCCGCAUGAAGAUGCACUAGAAACAGCAGUGAAAGGAUAUUUGGGGGGUGCACUUCUUUCUUCUUGAACCCGCAGGAGGACAGGGGGACGGACAGUGGACAAUGUAGUUGGCAUUUUGGAGGCAGAGAGCUCUGAGAAAGACCAGGGUGCUGACCAGCUCGGGCUGACCAGCAUGGCAGGGAUUGAGGGUGCCAGUGAGGGGGCAGAGAAAGACGGGGUCCCGGCCUGGGUGCUGCAGAGGCCUUUGGCCAUGGGAUGGGAGUGACUCCUCUUUUGGGGUCCUACCCCGAGUUUCACUCUGUACCCCAUUCAUCUGCAGACUGGCCAGGAAAGACAACACUCAACCUCCUUCCCUCUGCUUCCAGUGGGCCCUCUCAUGUCCCCCAAAGCCCUGGGCUGGCCUGUGCUGCCCCUGCCCCUGCCCACAGCCUACAGAGGUUCCCUCCACCUCAACUCAAGACCCCUGUCUCCUUCCCUCCCCAGCACCUUGCAUGAAUAUUCUCAGAAGAGCCCUGUCCGUGUCUACACAGCCACAAAGGGAAAUGUGAGCAUUUGAGGCUCAAAAACCAGUUGGCAUUGGAGGUGCAAUAACAGCUACCGUUCUGGCGGCCGCAGCUGUUGCAGCAGGUGCCGCUCACUCGUGUGGCUCUGGAUGAAUUAGGCUCAGAGAGGGCGAGGACUUGACUAGUCGCACAGCCUCUGCCGGAAGUGCUCCCAGCUGCUCCCCACCCCCUAGGGCCUAGGCUUUGUGUCUUCAGGUAGAGGCUGAAAGGAGCCCGGCGCUUCCCAGUGGGGUGGGCAGGUGGCUGUGGGCUCAGCCUGCGAAGGUCAGCGCUGGGAGGUGUAUCGGCCUCACUGGGAUGGACGGCCUGCAGGGUCCUGGGCGCAGUUCCCAGACUCGGGGUUCUCAGGGUGGAGGGAGCAGGCCAGGCGCGGCCCUCUGGCCAGUCUUCAUGUGACGCGCUUCCUGAGCCGGUGGAGUCCUACUGCCUCAAGGUCCCAGGGGUGGGCCUCAGGGCGGUCCCAGAGCCCGUAGGGGCUCCAGGCUUGGGACCCAGAGGGACCUGUGCCUGGCGCCGGGCCCGAGGACUCACAGUCACGUUCUCUUGUUGUCCCUCUUCCAGAUUCUUCUUCCUGUUGCUUGUUUGUCACAGCAGCAGGGCACACCCCUCCCACGCUGGCUCCUGGUGCGGCGCUGGCUGCCACCGUCCAGGUUGAGAAGGGAAGGUGGGGGACUCUGAGAUCCGAACCUGGGAGUAGGGCCCCAAAGGGAGGCUCCAGGGGUCCCCGCUCUUUAACUUCCUCUCUUCCGUUUCCUCCACCAGGGACCAGCCAGCGCUGGUCUUCCAGGGGUUGAUUCUUCCCAACUCCCACCUCCACCCCCACCCCCACCCCAUGCAGAACGCGCUUCCUCUGAGGCCGCCCCACCUCCAGGCUCACCAGGGGCCUCCACACCUCCUCCCCCAGGACGCAGGCCAGGACCCCAGGUUCUGUUUUGGGGCUUCCUUCUGGCUCCAGCUCCCCAACAAUCGCUCUGCCAAGGGCCGAUUGAUUUCCUCCUGCGCCCUGGUGAGUGUGAGGCCCAGCAGUGGUGCCUGACCCACAGCACCCAACCCACGCUCAGAACCACGCAAUCCCCACCCCCACCCCCAGUCUCCACGCUGUGACUCAGCUCCAGGUCCUGCUCAGCACUGCGAGAGGCAGAGAGGUGGCUGUGUGACUCCUUCUAUGUGGCUCAAUAUGACCCUGUCGCCCGGUGGGCGUGGCUCAGUGGUUGAGCGUCCACCUAUGAACCAGGAGAUCACGGUUCAAUUCCCGGUCAGGGCACAUGUCCAGGUUGCGGGCUUGAUACCCAGUGUGGGGCGUGUAGGAGGCAGCUGAUCAAUGAUUCUCUCUCAUCAUUGAUGUUUCCAUCCCCAUCUCCCUUCCUCUCUGAAAUGAA